rnacentral:tRNA from 1 species
AUUGGUUUGGCAGAGUAGUGCUUUAGAUUUAGGAUUUAAUAAUAUUUGGAUGCUUCCAAUUAGCCAGUU